rnacentral:lncRNA from 1 species
ACCAAACGACACCCCUCUCUUACACGCCUCUGCCAUCGCCUCACGACCGAACUCGCCGGAAAUUCGCUUUUUUGGCACGCGCUUUCACUGGCCCCCCUCUUCUACCUUAUCUUUCAUCUAACACGUUUUCACUGGUCCCCCUCUUCUACAUUAUCUUUCAUCUACGUGGUCUGACAUGUAACAAACCCCCACUUACUCGAAUAUUCCUUCGAUUUUUUUUCUUUAACAAAUUCGAAUUAUUCUCAGACGGUUUUGGAAAAUUGGAGGUCAUAGGAUUAAAGUGUUUUGAUCCUAGGUUUGCACUUGUCUAAAAUCCGUCGUUUAAAAAAAAAGAAUUUUCGAAUUUAAUAAAAGUUUGGAUUUUUAAGAGUUUUGGGGAAUAUUUUCGGAUGUUUGAGAUCCCCACACGAUUUCUUGCUGAAGAAGGAUAGAAGUUUCGAAAGUGAGCUAUAUAUUUGGGAUUGGACAAAAGGAUGAGGGAACAAUCUUUAGGGGUCGAAAUAAAAUCCUAGGGUUUUGAAGAGUUUUAUUUGGUGUGUUAAGUUUUCUUUGCUAGAAUUUCUGCUUGGAGAUUCCAGAAAAAUACUAUAAAAAAUGAGUUUCUUCGUUUCUUUUGGACUCUUAUUUAGAUUUUUGAGUCGAUUUAAGUUUUUCUUUAAAAAGGGUAUACAAAAAUACAUUCGACAUCCCAAGUAAAGAUGGAUUCCGUCUGAGCCGAGGUUGAGUCGAGUUCGCAUUUGAGAUUUCGUCCGAGUUGGUUUUUGGUUGGAGCGUUUGGUUCAUGUCAGCUAGUACAAUUUAUCGAUUCCAUUUAUUUCCCUUUUACAUAUUAUUUCUUGGUGUUGAUUACGAGUAUGAUAAGAGCUUCGAUUUAAAAUGAGUUUAAGGGUCUAAAACGACAAAAUAAGAGGGAUGAACGUUCAUAGGAGUGUAUUCUCGUUGGUUCUAAAAUAAGAACUGAUUUGAGUAUACUUUCUUUUGGACAUACUUGUUCCUGUUCGGUUAAUUUAAUUUCAUUAAAUUGAUUUGAGUUUUAUAUGCCAUUUGAAGAAUCUUGUAUUAGUUUCGAAAUGACAAACUAAAAAGUGGAGAUUGAUUUUUUUUUUUAAUCUAAUGGCUUGUUUGGCAUUUCCUUUACUAGUUUUCUCCUGAUUUUAGCAUGAUUCUCAAUAGAUUUAAGGACUCAAUUUAACAGUGUCAAUUUCAUGUUUGUUUGCCUAUGUCAUGAAUUGAAACCCAUGGCUCAUGCUUUCUAAUCAGCCUCAAGUGCUUAUUACUAGAAACUCUUCAUAAUGCAUAUUUAUUUGUUUGACAUUCCAGGUGCUUAAGUGAUAAGAAAAGUGAAUCUUUGUGAAGCUAAUCUUGAAGUUUGGAUAAUUAUUAGUUCUAUUCUAGCGUAUUCUUCGUUUAGGUUAUUUUGGAGCAUUCUAAUUAUUUAAGUUCAUUCUAAUUAUGUUGAAAACAUUUAGGAUUGGAUCUUGGUUGAAUUAGAAGGUUAAUCCAUUUAUGAAAAUUGCAUCUUAGUGGCAUCGACAGUUAGAGUGAUAGGUUUUUUUCAUGAAACAUAUCUAUAUCUUAGUCAUAGUGUGAUUAACAUGAGUUGUUAAGAAUUGUACUUAUUUUGUUCUCCUAUGAAUUGUAGCAAUGUCUGUAGUUUUGUGUAGUUUUGUCUUUGUUUGAGGUGUAAGAGUUAGGAGGCAAGGUUGGUGAGCUAACAUGGUACAAUGGGGUUUUAACAUAGCUCUUGUCAUACUUGCAAUCUUCCUUUAAUCAUUCAGCGUUGUUUUGUUAUUUUUAUAUUUCUUUUAUUUUGUUUGGCUUGCUAUUUUUAAGCCCAUUAGUGAUUAAUUUGUUUAGGGAUUUUUACAUAUACAUCCCAUAUAACAAACCUUAUAACCACUCAUGUUUAAGGUUA